AUUUGCACCCGCUAACAGGUAUAGCAAAACGUUCACAGAGAUAAUGGCAUUGAUUUUUAGUACAAAGGUCAUCUAGUUCGAUUCUAGGGUUUCUACAAAUUAGGGUAUAUAUUUCUUGUUUUAAGGCGAGGGUUUAUGAUUCUAAAAGUUCAUUGAAAAUAUUGAAAUUGACAGCGUAAUUAAAGAGUAGAAUAACCACAUUAUUUAUAAUGUAAAUUCUUUUGAAACUUAUUCAUUCAUAUUAUUUAAAAUAUACAAUGAAGAGUUUGAUCCUGGCUCAGGAUGAACGCUAGCGGCAGGCUUAACACAUGCAAGUCGAGGGGUAACAUUGUGCUUGCACAGAUGACGACCGGCGCACGGGUGCGUAACGCGUAUAGAACCUACCUUUUACAGGGGAAUAGCCUUUAGAAAUGAAGAUUAAUGCCCCAUAGUAUUGAGACUUGGCAUCAAGUUUUAAUUAAAGAUUUAUCGGUAAAAGAUGGCUAUGCGUCCUAUUAGUUAGUUGGUAAGGUAACGGCUUACCAAGACAUCGAUAGGUAGGGGUCCUGAGAGGGAGAUCCCCCACACUGGUACUGAGACACGGACCAGACUCCUACGGGAGGCAGCAGUGAGGAAUAUUGGACAAUGGAGGCAACUCUGAUCCAGCCAUGCCGCGUGUAGGAAGAAUGCCCUAUGGGUUGUAAACUACUUUUAUACAGGAAGAAACACUGGUAUGUAUACCAGCUUGACGGUACUGUAAGAAUAAGGACCGGCUAACUCCGUGCCAGCAGCCGCGGUAAUACGGAGGGUCCGAGCGUUAUCCGGAAUCAUUGGGUUUAAAGGGUCCGCAGGCGGUCUAUUAAGUCAGAGGUGAAAUCCCAUAGCUCAACUAUGGAACUGCCUUUGAUACUGGUUGACUUGAGUCAUAUGGAAGUGGAUAGAAUGUGUAGUGUAGCGGUGAAAUGCAUAGAUAUUACACAGAAUACCGAUUGCGAAGGCAGUCCACUACGUAUGUACUGACGCUGAGGGACGAAAGCGUGGGGAGCGAACAGGAUUAGAUACCCUGGUAGUCCACGCCGUAAACGAUGGAUACUAGUUGUUGGGAUUUAUCUCAGUGACUAAGCGAAAGUGAUAAGUAUCCCACCUGGGGAGUACGGUCGCAAGACUGAAACUCAAAGGAAUUGACGGGGGCCCGCACAAGCGGUGGAGCAUGUGGUUUAAUUCGAUGAUACGCGAGGAACCUUACCAGGGCUUAAAUGUAGUCUGACAGCUUUAGAGAUAGAGUUUUCUUCGGACAGAUUACAAGGUGCUGCAUGGUUGUCGUCAGCUCGUGCCGUGAGGUGUCAGGUUAAGUCCUAUAACGAGCGCAACCCCUGUUAUUAGUUGCCAGCAUGUAAAGAUGGGGACUCUAAUAAGACUGCCAGCGCAAGCUGCGAGGAAGGUGGGGAUGACGUCAAAUCAUCACGGCCCUUACGUCCUGGGCCACACACGUGCUACAAUGGUAUGGACAAUGAGCAGCCAUCUGGCAACAGAGAGCGAAUCUAUAAACCAUAUCACAGUUCGGAUCGGAGUCUGCAACUCGACUCCGUGAAGCUGGAAUCGCUAGUAAUCGGAUAUCAGCCAUGAUCCGGUGAAUACGUUCCCGGGCCUUGUACACACCGCCCGUCAAGCCAUGGAAGCUGGGAGUGCCUGAAGUCGGUCACCGCAAGGAGCCGCCUAGGGUAAAACUGGUAACUAGGGCUAAGUCGUAACAAGGUAGCCGUACCGGAAGGUGCGGCUGGAACACCUCCUUUCUAGAGAAAGAUUGGUGAGUUACAAAAGGUAAAUUUUACUCUUUGCUGUUAAUUUUAUAAAACAAGUAUUAAGCUAUUAUAGUCUCGUAGCUCAGCUGGUUAGAGCGCUACACUGAUAAUGUAGAGGUCGGCAGUUCGAGUCUGCCCGGGACUACAAAAGUUUAAUAUUAAGGAAAUUCUAGAAGUUGGGAUGCCCAAGUUGACGUACAAGUCAUCAAUUAACUGAUAACUGUUAACUGGUCGCUUGCUACUAAAAUGGGGGAUUAGCUCAGUUGGCUAGAGCGCUUGCCUUGCACGCAAGAGGUCAUCGGUUCGACUCCGAUAUUCUCCACAAAUAGUUACAGGCUUAGGCUUGUUACUAUAUAUGAUAGGCAUUUGUUUAUUAUAUAGAAAGUUCAUUGACAUAUUGGUAAAAUGAUAUCGUAAGAAUCAAAUAGAUAGAGAUGUUUGUAGUAGAGAUACUGCAAACAAAUUAAAAUUUUUUUAUAAAGAAUAAAAGAGUUCAUUAUAGUAUGAAAAUACUGUAGCAAAAAGUACAAUAAGUUAAGUAAGGGCGUAUGGCGGAUGCCUAGGCUCUCAGAGACGACGAAGGACGCGAUAAGCUGCGAAAAGCUACGGGGAGGGGCACAUACCUUUUGAUCCGUAGAUAUCCGAAUGGGGCAACCCGGCAUGUUGAAGACAUGUCACCUAGCAAUAGGGGUAAACCCGGUGAACUGAAACAUCUAAGU
rnacentral:rRNA from 1 species